CAGUAGCCGCGGUAAUACGGAGGGAGCUAGCGUUGUUCGGAAUUACUGGGCGUAAAGCGCGCGUAGGCGGUUACUCAAGUCAGAGGUGAAAGCCCGGGGCUCAACCCCGGAACUGCCUUUGAAACUAGGUGACUAGAAUCUUGGAGAGGUCAGUGGAAUUCCGAGUGUAGAGGUGAAAUUCGUAGAUAUUCGGAAGAACACCAGUGGCGAAGGCGACUGACUGGACAAGUAUUGACGCUGAGGUGCGAAAGCGUGGGGAGCAAACAGGAUUAGAUACCCCCGUAGUCCCUGUCUCUUAUAU
rnacentral:rRNA from 1 species